UGAAGACCUUAGUGCCAAAAAUACUUGCAUGCAUUAUUCAUGCACGCAUGCAUGCAUGAUGCAUUCAAGUAUAAAAAAAAAGUUACAGAUGUUUAAUUAUACAAAAAGAUUAUGGAUGUGGUACUGCAAGUAUAUUCAAUUGAUUAUGCAAUUAAACCAUCACCACUUCCACAGCCACCUUGUCUCAAGCAUUAAAUCGCAUUCUAAGAUAUCUUUAUUCAAAUUAAGUGUGACUACUUUACCAAAAGACUCUAGAAUGGACCAAUCAACUAACCCAUCAGUACUUGCAAAGUCUCCUUUUUUGUAAGCCCGAAAAUUGAGUUCUAAAAUACCAUUAUCCACAUAACUACUAUAUCAAAGUACAAUCUAAUGGAUUGAUCAAUGAAACUGUCGGUAUCUCCACAACUUUUCAAUUAAAUAGAAAGUUUCAAUUAAACAGGAUCCUGAGUGUGCCUACUGCUCCUCAAGACAAUGGAUAAUGGGAGUUAUCAAACUUUAUAUAUAUAUAUAUAUAU